AGGUUGGUGCAAAAGUAAUUGUGCAUUUUGCCAUUAAAAGUGGCAAAACCACAAUUACUUUUGCACCAACCUAA
rnacentral:miRNA from 1 species